rnacentral:rRNA from 1 species
GAUGAACGCUAGCGGCAGGCCUAAUACAUGCAAGUCGAACGAGAUUAAGAGGCUUGCUUCUUAUGAAAGUGGCGCACGGGUGCGUAACGCGUAUGCAACCUACCUUAAUCAGGGGGAUAGCCCGAAGAAAUUCGGAUUAAGACCGCAUAAAAACACAGGAUAGCAUUAUCCAAUGUUCAAAUAUUUAUAGGAUUAAGAUGGGCAUGCGUGUCAUUAGCUAGUUGGCGGGGUAACGGCCCACCAAGGCGACGAUGACUAGGGGAUCUGAGAGGAUGACCCCCCGCACUGGUACUGCGACACGGACCAGACUCCUACGGGAGGCAGCAGUAAGGAAUAUUGGUCAAUGGAGGGAACUCUGAACCAGCCAUGCCGCGUGCAGGAAGACAGCCCUCUGGGUCGUAAACUGCUUUUAUUCGGGAAUAAACCUUUCUACGUGUAGGAAGCUGAAUGUACCGAAGGAAUAAGGAUCGGCUAACUCCGUG